rnacentral:rRNA from 1 species
UACGGAGGGUGCAAGCGUUAUCCGGAUUCACUGGGUUUAAAGGGUGCGUAGGUGGGCCGGUAAGUCAGUGGUGAAAUCUCCGGGCUUAACCCGGAAACUGCCAUUGAUACUAUUUGUCUUGAAUACCGUGGAGGUCAGCGGAAUAUGUCAUGUAGCGGUGAAAUGCUUAGAUAUGACAUAGAACACCAAUUGCGAAGGCAGCUGGCUACACGAAUAUUGACACUGAUGCACGAAAGCGUGGGGAUCAAACAGG